GCUCGGGUGGUGGAACUGGUAGACACGCACGUUUGAGGGGCGUGUGCCUAGCGGCGUAUGGGUUCAAAUCCCAUUCCGAGCACCA
rnacentral:tRNA from 1 species